UACGUAGGGGGCAAGCGUUAUCCGGAAUUACUGGGUGUAAAGGGUGAGUAGGCGGUCGAAUAAGUCAUAUGUGAAAGCCCGAGGCUUAACCACGGGACUGCAUAAGAAACUGAUUGACUAGAGUACAGGAGAGGUAAGCGGAAUUCCUAGUGUAGCGGUGAAAUGCGUAGAUAUUCGCAAGAACACCAGUGGCGAAGGCGGCUUACUGGUCCGGUUCUGACGCUGAGGCGCGAAAGCGUGGGGAGCAAACAGG
rnacentral:rRNA from 1 species